rnacentral:rRNA from 1 species
GACGAACGCUGGCGGCGUGCUUAACACAUGCAAGUCGAACGGAAAGGCCCUGCUUUUGUGGGGUGCUCGAGUGGCGAACGGGUGAGUAACACGUGAGUAACCUGCCCUUGACUUUGGGAUAACUUCAGGAAACUGGGGCUAAUACCGGAUAGGAGCUCCUGCUGCAUGGUGGGGGUUGGAAAGUUUCGGCGGUUGGGGAUGGACUCGCGGCUUAUCAGCUUGUUGGUGGGGUAGUGGCUUACCAAGGCUUUGACGGGUAGCCGGCCUGAGAGGGUGGCCGGCCACAUUGGGACUGAGAGACGGCCCAGACUCCUACGGGAGGCAGCAGUGGGGAAUAUUGCCCAAUGGGCGGAAGCCUGAUGCAGCAACGCCGCGUGCGGGAUGACGGCCUUCGGGUUGUAAACCGCUUUCGCCUGUGACGAAGCGUGAGUGACGGUAAUGGGUAAAGAAGCACCGGCUAACUACGUG